rnacentral:piRNA from 1 species
UAAUUACAGAAUUUGUAAUAAAAAUAAGGA